GCCCAUGUGGCCGAGCGGUUCUAGGCGCUUCACUCCGACUGUUGCGGUCGCAGGUUCGAAUCCUGCCUUGGGCA